rnacentral:rRNA from 1 species
ACGAACGCUGGCGGCAGGCCUAACACAUGCAAGUCGAACGCUCCGCAAGGGGAGUGGCAGACGGGUGAGUAACACGUGGGAAUCUUCCUAUUGGUACGGAAUAGCUCAGGGAAACUUGGGGUAAUACCGUAUAAGCCCGAGAGGGGAAAGAUUUAUCGCCAGUAGAUGAGCCCGCGUCUGAUUAGCUAGUUGGUGAGGUAAUGGCUCACCAAGGCGACGAUCAGUAGCUGGUCUGAGAGGAUGAUCAGCCACACUGGGACUGAGACACGGCCCAGACUCCUACGGGAGGCAGCAGUGGGGAAUAUUGGACAAUGGGCGCAAGCUUGAUCCAGCCAUGCCGCGUGAGUGACGAAGGUCUUCGGACUGUAAAGCUCUUUUGGCGGGGACGAUAAUGACGGUACCCGCAGAAUAAGCCCCGGCUAACUUCGU